GCCUAGGUCGCAUAACCUGGUAGUGCGCUGGCCUUGAGAGCCAGUUUCCGCAAGGAUUUCGGGGUUCGAAUCCCUGCCUAGGCG
rnacentral:tRNA from 1 species